UACGAAGGGGCUAGCGUUGCUCGAAUCACUGGGCGUAAAGCGCACGUAGGCGGACUCUUAAGUCGGUGGUGAAUCCUGGAGCUCAACUCCAGAACUGCUUCGAUACUGGGAGUCUCGAGUCCGGGAGAGGUGAGUGGAACUGCGAGUGUAAGAGGUGAAUUCGUAGAUAUUCGCAAGAACACCAGUGCGAAGGCGGCUCA
rnacentral:rRNA from 1 species